UUUGUCAAAAUGAAAAGGCGAUU
rnacentral:piRNA from 1 species